rnacentral:snRNA from 1 species
AGCUUUGCCCAGUGGCAGUAUCAUAGCCAAUGAGGUUUAUCCAAGGCAUGAUUAUUGCUAACUGAAAAUAAAAGUUAAAAAAA